AAGUUUGUGGGUCGUAAAUCCUUUGGCCCACGGAGUCUGCUGCAAUGGCACUGCAAUAAAUUUGAUUUAUUACCACUCCGACAAACUUCAAUGGUGCCCACAUGCUUCCAUUCACAUGCUGCCACUCUUCUCAGUUGUCGGACGUUAGCACAGUUCACAUGCAGCGUAAAAUGGCUUUUUCUGUGUCUGCGUGGUGUCUUCAAUAACUCAGCUCGGCACCAGUGCUUCUAUUCUAUCACUCUUUAUUUAGAAGCAUACAAAAACAGAAAAGAAAAACCUACAGAAUCUAGCUGCAUGAUUGCAGCUUUCUGUCUCUAACAAAACAAAACUACCUUGCUCACAUUCUCAGACAGACUGCUCUCAGCAACCCCCAGAGAGCACAGAUCAAAGGGAAAUGCCCGGGUCAUGUAGGCAGUGCAUCCAGUUGAUAAGAACGCUCCUGGAGUGUUAACUCUUGACUGUCCAGAACCACAACAAUU